AGUUAAUUAUCAAAAUUUUCAUCUUAAAAAGUAAAUAUUUACUAUUUUAUUUAAUAAAAAAUAGAAAACGUAUAUCAAACAUGUUUUUGGGGACCAAGUUUUAACUCAAAAUAUGUACAUAAAAACACUUGUUUAAUAUAGUGAACAUAUUAAAACGUCUUGCCAAUAAUAACGUAUUAUGAAUAUUAUUGUGAAGAUGAUAUUGAUAUUGAUCGUAAACCCAUCUGGCAAAGGGGCCGCUUAAAGCACAAAACAAUGGAUACCUAACAUCUGGAUAUUAUAUUGUUACAAUUUUAAGAAUAUUAUCUUAACAAAAACUACUUUCUACUAGCACUACGCUUGAUAGACCGGCAUUUGAGAACGAUGGGCCCUUGGACGAUCGUCAUCUUAGAUUAAGUACUGAACCUGAGCAGUCUACUAGCACUACGCUUAAUAGACCGGCUUUUGAGGACGAUGGGUCCUUGGACGAUCGUCAUCUCUUUAAAGAUGAAGUUCUGAAAAUGUGGAAUUUAACUAAAGUAAAUAAAACUUUAGGCAAUAACGAGCAGUGUGUGGCAUUUGCUGAAGAACAUGGAUUAGUGCAUUCUCAAAAGCAAUGUAGAACACAUCGUGUACCCAUGAAAAUAAUUAAAUCGACGAAUAAAUCAUUUUGUACAUGGUCUUGUACAAAAGGAAAUUGCAAAGCAAAAUCAAGAAUUGCUAGAAAUAAAGGAACAUUUUUUGAUAACAUUAAAAUAAACUUAGUACAUGUCUUCUAUUUACUAUAUGCAUAUUCACAAAAUUGGAGUUAUUAUACAACUAUUAAUGAAAAUCCAUAUAAAGAAGAUAGACAACAAUGCUUAAGUUGAGGCACUAUUAAUGAUUGGUUUAAUUAUUGUAGAGAAACUAUAGUUAUUUAUCAAAUGGACAAAAAUCAAUUUAAAGGAAAGAUUGGUGGCCCAGGGAAGAUUGUGCAGAUAGACGAAUCAAAAUUUGGGAAACGAAAAUACAACCGAGGACGACAUAUUGAGGGCCAUUGGGUCCUUGGUAUGAUUGAAGACAAUUCAGAAGAUCUGAUAUUGGAAGUGUGCUCAGAUAAUAUUCGCUCAGCGGAAGUAUUAGUUCCUCUAAUACAGAAACACGUAGAAGUUGGCACAACCAUCCACACUGACUUCUGGCGAGCAUAUGAUUGCUUGUCUGAGCAUGGAUACCUUCAUAAGAAGGUCAACCACUAGGAUCCAGACAACCCCUUUGUGGCUGAAGAUGGAACACAUACUCAAAGAAUCGAGUCUCAAUGGAGAGCAGUUAAGAGAUUUUUUAAGAAAGGCAAUUAUAAUCAUAAUAAUACAGAAAAUUUCACUGAUCAUUUAUACGAAUACCUAUGGCGGCGAAACAAUAAGAAAUAUAAAAAAGACCCCUUUGAGGAGCUACUUAUAGCAAUUAAAUAUAUCGAUACUGUGACCACCUUGACCACGCCUUCGUGAGUAUUCUCCCGUCUCACGGUAUCGCUUCCCAAGUCUGUAGAUAACAGAAGGGGCUACUCCUAGAUCAUUUCCUACAUAACGCAUAGUUCGACCCUCUUCAAGCAAAGCGAUAGCUCGGGAGACAUGCAAUUCAGUCAGAUCUGGCAUUAUGACCUAAACUCACUUGCUUCAAUUAAUAACAAUACUCAAAAGGCUCAGCUUUAAUUAAUAACAAUACUCAAAAGGCUCACUUCAAUUUCUAUUAAUACUCAAAAGAUUGAAAAAAACUACUUAAAAUGUGUUUUCUGUGAUUAGAAAGUAAUGAAAAUUCAAAGACGUCACUUUGUUUUUCGUCUACAAUGCACAUUUUAUUGUUUUAUUAAU